rnacentral:rRNA from 1 species
AAUGAACGCUGGCGGCAGGCCUAACACAUGCAAGUCGAGCGCGCGGCGGACGGGUGAGUAAUGUAUGGGAACUGCCCUAUAGAGGGGGAUAACUACUGGAAACGGUGGCUAAUACCGCAUACUAUCCGAUAACCCAUAUGGGAUUAGCCAUUAGGUGGGGUAAAGGCUCACCAAGGCGACGAUCGCUAGCUGGUCUGAGAGGGUGAUCAGCCACACUGGAACUGAGACGCGGCCCAGACUCCUACGGAGGCAGCAGUAGGGAAUAUUGCGCAAUGGGCGCAAGCCUGAUGCAGCAAUGCCGCGUGUAUGAAGAAGGCCUUAGGGUUGUAAAGUACUGUCAGCGGGGAGGCGUUACCUGAAGAAGAAGCACCGGCUAACUACGUGCCAGCAGCCGCGGUAAUAC